rnacentral:SRP_RNA from 1 species
CGGUCGGGCCGGGGCAGUGCGUCGGUCGGACAACGGGUCAGGUCCGGAAGGAAGCAGCCCAGCCGGCGUGGCCCACGUGCCUCGUCCACCCGGCCGAAA